AUGGAGUACGAGCCGGCGAUUUUUUGCCCCAAGUGCAGGAAGAAAGCGCCGCGGUGGAUUUCCUGGAGUCCGGCGAACCCUGGAAGAAGGUACUAUGCAUGCGUUGAAGCUCGGACAUUGCCGAUUGAACAGCACGGCUUCAUUCAGUGGCAUGAUGGGCCUACAACUGAAUUUUUGCGUCGAUUGCUGGGAGAUCUUCGAGAUAGAGUGUGGAGGCUGGAGGAGGAUGUUGAUGCACUGUUAAAUGAAGCAGAUUCACGAGCUGCUGCUUUAACCGAUGGAGUGAUUGGAGGAAAUGAAAAAAUUGCAUCAGUUAGUGAGAAAUGUGUUAGCAGAGAGAUGUUGUUGUAUGGCAUUGUGCUAUUUCUGUCUGGUAUGGUGGUAGGGAUGAUUUUAGGCUAG
rnacentral:rRNA from 1 species